UAAACCUGAUAGGUUGUUGCUGGUUCUCUUGGGAGCAUGUGCACACUUGUCAUCUUUAUAUCUUCACCUGUGCACCUCUUGUAAAUCUGAAUAUCUUUCUGAAAGCACCUGGUGUGUUCAGGUUUUAGGAUCGAUCCUUUUCUUUCCUUAUUAUUUUCAGGUUUAUGUUUUUCAUAAUACCCCAAGUAUGUUAUAGAAUGUGUUAUAAAGGGGGCCUUUGUGCCUAUAAAUUUAUACAACUUUCAGCAACGGAUCUCUUGGCUCUCGCAUCGAUGAANAACGCAGCGAAAUGCGAUAAGUAAUGUGAAUUGCANAAUUCAGUGAAUCAUCGAAUCUUUGAACGCACCUUGCGCUCCUUGGUAUUCCGAGGAGCAUGCCUGUUUGAGUGUCAUUAAUAUAUAUCAACCUCCUUCAGCUUUUUGCAUGCUGUGUUGAGUGUUGGAUGUGGGGGUAUUUUUUUGCUGGACUCUAGAAUCAUGAGAGUUCAGCUCCCUUAAAAUGUAUCAGCGAAACAAUUUGUUUACCGCUCAUUGGUGUGAUAACUAUCUACGCUAUUGACGGUGAAAGCAUGUUUAGCUUCUAACAGUCCAUUAACUUGGACAAUCUCUUAUUAAUGUGACCUCAAAUCAGGUAGGACUACCCGCUGAACUUAAGCAUAUCAAUAAGCGGAGGAAAAGAAACUAACAAGGAUUCCCCUAGUAACUGCGAGUGAAGCGGGAAAAGCUCAAAUUUAAAAUCUGGCA
rnacentral:rRNA from 1 species